rnacentral:lncRNA from 1 species
UGUUAAAUUCCUUGAAUAGCAGAAGGGAAAAGAAAGAAAUAAAUAAAAAAAAAAAAAAACACGUAUUUUAAAAAUAUAACCUAAAAUACGAUAUUUGAAAGAACUAUUAUUAAAACAUAAAAAUAAAAUUUAUAGGUAUGUAUUACGUAAAGUGUUUGUUCAAUAGCAAUUUCGACUUUUUAGAUAUGUCGAAGUUAAGAUGUUCCUCUUCUCUUAAUAUCUACAGUUGGCGACGAGGUGACUGGGGCAAUGGCGUUGGUUACAAAAUGUUUACGAUCUUUUUGACACGUCGACCUCGUUUUUCGUUCUCCGACCUUGUCUGGGACAACUUCCUGAAGACUCGUGUUCCUCAUAUUCCUGAAGGGUUUAUAAGUGUGUAGGAUGAUUUAUCUUAUAAUCUGCAACCAGCAUUUAUCAAGAUAGCAAUUGCUUAGUUUAUAUGACUAUAUAUUUGUCUUUUGCUCGGUUUUUACUAUAAAUUUAAUAAGAAUGCUUUCUGAUAAGGUGCAUGUUUGUGCAUUGUUAUUAUGGUUAUCACGCG